GAGCAUUCGUAGAGAGAAAGAAAGAUUAGUGAUGGAUAAAUUGUCACGCCUCGGAUGUCUCAUUUCCCGGGCACACCGACAAAUCCGCCGUAUACAAAAAAAAUUUUUCUGUAUACGAAGCGACAGCUGUACCUGUAAACAUACAAUACUACAAACAGUAGUAUAGAGCUGCUCGAGUAAACAAAAGCUAAACAACUGAGCUUCAUAUAUAUAGUUCAAAAAAAUCAAAAUACAGAGUUACUCGCACUGGCGAGUUAAGUACUAUGUACAUAAGCUCGAAAUAAAACAACUACCUGCAGUAGGGUGCCUCUAGCUCUGCUCGGCGGGUAGGGCUCUAACUCACGACGCCCUUGCCUUGAUCCU
rnacentral:lncRNA from 1 species